UCUUUGGACCUCUUAGGAGAACCUUUAUAAACAAUAGAAACAACAAGCUAUAACUAAAUAAGAAGCAAUUCGUGAACUCAUGCAGCCCCAAUACACAAGUUUAAUACUGCCCAUAAGAUAGUAUAAUUAUUCACAAUAAAGGAAGACAAUCAAGAAUAAAUAAAAGUAAAGAGAAAUAUCAUUCAACAAAUAAAAUUGUCAUAUAAAUCCUGGCCGUCUCCUAGUGUUUCCAUGUUGAAAAUGUUCCGAAACUGAAACACUCCAACCAUUGCCGUUUUUGUACUUUAAAGCCUAGCUCAUGUUCUCCAUUUUCGUGUGUCGCAGGUAAAAAAUUUUGAAAUAAAACUAUCUUAACAAGACAUGUUCAAAGGAAUUAAAACUAUAAGUGAAUAUAUAUAUACAUUUACAUUAGUAAAGAGCUUUAAGAGUUCAAUUCUGAGUGCAUUAGGACCUUUCACUAUAACAACAGAUAACUUCCAAUACAUGGAUAAGGUUGAAAAGUUAAAAAUAAUAACCAAAAAGGAAUUAGCAGAGGAACUUGUGGUUGUAGUGAUACAAGUUGAAUGGUAAUUGAAUAACAACUGAGCACUAACUUGAGUAUAUUGAUGAGGGUAACAAUAUUGGCUUUAGUGUUGCCACCAGAAUGUAAAUUCAUAUAAAUAACUCAUAAGGCCUUCUCCAGCCAUCUUGGCAAUCUCAAUGAAUCUUUCAUCCCAAGUCUGGCGAGGAACACAGAAUACAAGAGGUGCAGUAGAAACACAAAGAAUCCACUAUUUAGCAGUAGCUGUUUGACAAUUAGACAGAUAAGUAUGCCAUUUAUACAUAAAUAUAUCCAUAUAUAAAGGAUCAGAGAAGGGGAUAGCUAAAUUUACCAGAGUCCCAAAUAUAGCAUAUAUCACGUUCAUUGAUGGAAUUGUAUUAAUACCAAUGGUGGUAAAUAUUAAUGUCAGAGAAGCGUGAAUGUUUAUGGUGAUCUACAGGAAAAGUAAAGAACUUUGUAACUGAUUAAGUGACACUGAAUAAAGAAAAAUUACAUGGUCAGAAGUAAACAAUUACCAAAGCAAGUAUGUUUUCUCUUAUUAAGAAGGAAGAUGUAAUGACAUACCCCAUGGCACCCAUUGAUCGAGCCUGCAUUUUAGAGAAAUGUCUGUAAAUAGAAAUUUGAAAAUAAGGCCAUUGCUUCAAACAGGGUUAAGGAAGUCUAAGGCCAAAGGGAGCAAACACUACAAUUGUGCACAAGAAUAUUGAAAGACUCCAAUCUGCUCCCAACCUGAAAAAAUUCAAAAACCAAAAGAUUCCACCAGGCAUCACUCUAUGGCUGAUUCAUUUAAAAAUUGAAUGGUCGCAUAUUUUACUUGGCUAGAUAGGGUAUUUAAAAUUUGAAGCGCAAUAAGCAUGUCAAAAGAGUAACUGAAAGCUCAUGGAGAGCAGCAUACUGAAAAGGCCACUGAUUAAACUCAUGUGAAUCACUUGGCUCUACCCAAUAAUAAAACUUCUACAACAUUUAUUUAGUUCAGAUGCUAGUAAGAUUUUGAAAGAUACUUAUUUCAGAGAAGUACAAAUUGACAUAUAAGUCGGUGAAACCCAAGCCAAUUAAAGGGGAUGAAAUUAUGAUAAAUUCUUUAAAAUCACCAAUAAAUCAGUACUAAAGAGGAAAAUUUGAUAUUUAUGAUGUAUUACUAACAAUUACCUGUUUAUAACAUAAAAAAUCAUACUCAUUGAAUGAUGCGCAAAAAGAAGAAAAUAUCAUGCAAUAAGAACUUGCAAGGUUUGUAUUAAUUACCUCCACAUAGAGCCCAUCGUGAAACCAAGUAUACCAUGUGUUAGCAGAUAUGUUAAAGCUUUUAAUGG
rnacentral:misc_RNA from 1 species